GGGAGUUUCUGGACGAGGUGCAGGGGGAAGAUGGCCGAGUCGUGUGGGGGGGGAAUGAGUGAAUGGUGUUGUAUAUUCAGUAGUAACUCGCUAGUAGUGUAACUAAUAGUGCAGUCGUGACUAAUAGUGUCGGGCAGGUUUCCUUAUAGCCCUCUCAUUUGACACGAUGAGUAAGGGAAUAAGGAAUCUAGUGUCAAAGAGGAAGAGAAGAUUCAAAGAAGAUGGCUACGACCUAGAUUUAAGUUAUAUCACAGAGCGGCUCAUUGCCAUGGGUUAUCCUGCACAGAAGUUUGAAGGUGUUUAUAGAAAUCAUAUUGAUGAAGUAUGCCGGUUUUUAGAGGACAAACACAAGGACCACUAUAGAAUAUAUAAUUUGUGUUCAGAAAAAAAUAGAUCCUAUGAUGAGGCGAGAUUCCAUAACCGUGUGAGAAAUUUUCCUUUCGCGGAUCACAAUCCCCCGCCACUUAUGGACAUAGAGCCUCUUUGUAAGGACAUGGCUGAAUGGCUGGAAGAUGAUCCUAAAAAUGUUGCAGUUGUUCAUUGCAAAGCUGGAAAGGGGCGUACAGGUGUAAUGAUCUGUUGCUACCUUCUGCACUGCAGGUCAAAACUCCUAGCACAAGAGGCUUUAGAUUUUUAUGGUGACAGAAGAACCUUAGACCGCAAGGGUGUUACUAUUCCCAGUCAACAACGCUAUGUUCAUUAUUAUGGACAACUAGUCGCUUCAAAUUUUAAUUAUAAUCCUCCUUUUGUUAGUCUACGUCAGGCUAGAAUGAAUGCGCCAUUAUCGAGUGUAAACUCAGAAGUGUACCUCACAGUUAGCUCCCACACCAACAAAAAAGGUUACAGUUCUCAACCAGGUGAUAUACGGAAAGGGAAGGAGUGGAUACACUUGCCUGUCAGGGAAGAAGAUGCCAGACCCAUGUCAGAGGAUAUCAAAAUCGAACUGAAACGCACAAAUUUUGUCAGACGAACGGAGAAACUCUUCAGUGCUUGGCUGAACACACACUUUAUAUUAGAGGAGGGCAAGAAGGUCACGAAUGGAUGUGACAUCAACACAUCAGACCAAAACAACCAUAAUACUCCUAAUAUAAGACAAAGAAGCAAUAGUUUCCGUCUGCCCAAACGUGAGAGCUUUAGGCGCAAGAAGAGCGUAACGGAAGAACCCCGUGCUCCACUCACUGGCCUUGGUGGCGGUGGUGGCAGCUGUGGGGGAAAGAAUAGUGAUGAGUGUAAGGGCCUUAAAGAAUACAAGGAGAAUUCAAAGAAAAAAUUAGAAGAAUCUGGAAGCAAGAGUCUCCCAACAGGCCACCUAAGCUGCCUUACAGAUGAGGAAUGGACUCCCAAUGGUGGUCAGAGUCCUCCCCCGCGCCCUCGCGUUCACAAUCGUCACCGCCGUCGACACCACACGCAGAAUCUCCCCAUGUGUGGGAGCGCCCGGGACUCAUGGGACUCUGAAGCCAGGGCUAGGGAACAGGAGGUCCAAACUAUUUUAACCAAAAACCAGUUGGAUAAGGCCAACAAAGACACCCACCACAAAUUAUUACCUAAGGACUUCCAGAUUGAGCUUUGGUGGCUGGUCACCUUUGUCAACAAAGGAGGCAGCAACGCCUUGGAGUCCCGGGAGAGCGGGUCCACCCCAAGUACAAUCACCCCUUCGGGUUCGUCGUCGGACGAAGAUGACGACGAUGACGAUGAUGAAGAGGAGGGAUCUGACUGGGAUUCAGAUGGCCACUGUCCAGAGCGCUACGUGGGUCGCUAUCGGCUCAUGUCGGACUGUUCGGCUGCCCAUCCGAAUCAUUACACGAUGCCGGAGGGCCCCACAUGACCCUAGCCCCCCACCUCCACACAACCUGCUUCCCCAUGACACACACAUGAAGUACAUCCCGUGAAUCUACAUAUUUGUGAACCCAUGAAGCUUUAGCAAGCAAUUGGAAAUAGAAGUACGUACCUGACCCACCGCUAAGAUGUAUGAAGCAUUUGAAGAUAUGCUCAUCGUCCACCAUUUUUCCUCUGGUAACUGAUACUCAGUCAGCUGUUAUAGUUGUUUCUAUAGAUUAAAAGAUAAUACUUUCUAACUAUGGCCAUCCCACCCAUGAUUUUUGUUGUAUAUUCAGUAAUAGGUUCAGCCUGCAGUGACAGGCCAAUGUCAUAAAAGAAAUUUUUAAAUAUCAUUUGUCUUACUGUUCAAUGUUAUAGCUUUAAAUUUGUAUUCCUACAAUAAACUUGUACCAAAAGUAAAAGCAAAGUGUAGCAAAGCUGCAUUAUUAUAAUAAUUUAAGGUUAAACAACUUUUUUACUAAAUGCAUUUUAGAUCUACAAUUAUGUUACUUUUUUCUCUUUCUUUUCUGAUGAUCUUAGUAGUUGUACAUAGAUCAAUUUAAUUGCGGUAAGAGUUAUGUACCAUUGUACCAUAUUUUUUUCAUUCAGUACAAUUGUCAAGACAAUUUCUUAAAUUCUGAGAACUUCAGCCUUCAUAUUGUAAUCAAACCUCUGAACAUUCUGUCAUCUGUAGUGACCUGUCAGAAAACCAUGGGACCUUUCAUCCUUGUCAACAUUUAUUUUUUAUCACGUCCACUUUGUCACAAUGGGUGUCUGCAUUAAUUAUGAAGGAUAACUUCUAAUUCUCAAAUCUGAUUGUCCAGGAAGGUAUGAUUUUUACGUUGUAAAAUAUAAGGUACUAGAAAAUGUAGUUAUAGUUCUAAUUACAGCAGAUUUAGGACUACGUAUUUCAAAAACAAAUACAUUGUUAAAUUUGUCUCAGGUAUAAGGUUGGUUCUGUUCUACAAUUCCUCUAUUCCCUUUGCCCUUUCUUUCAUAUCAUCACUAUUUAAAAAAUUGUGUUAAUUUUCAGUCAUUCUUACUUAAGAAAUGUUGAGACAUUACAGUUUUAUUAGAGUACCUUUCUAAAGAUGUUAAUAUUAUUGAAAACAUAUUUUAAUGAAAAUGUUUCCAAGAAUAACAAAAGAUGAACUGUAAAAACUAAUACGCAGUACUGCUUUUUAUAUAAGGAAAGAAUAUUUGAAUAUUUCAAUGCAUCUUUUUGAAAAGUUUCUAAGUAACUCAGUAGCUGAUACAACUGUCUUAUUAUAUAUACUAUAUAAAAUUUUUCCAUCCCCUUGAGAGACAGAGAAAGUGAAAGUUGCCCAUGUUAGAGUUUCGUUCCUCAUAUGGCGCACUUUGAUUCUUAAAUCUUUCUGUCAUUUGGCACCCAAAACUCAUUAGAUAUGAAGAUGGAUAGAAAAUAAUAUACUGUAUGUCCUUCUGUGGCCGAAAGAUAGACCUGUAGCUUAUUGUUGAGGAGAGUUGAUCCAACUGUACUCUUUCAAUUGUCACAUUUUAGCGAGAACACCAUUAAUGGGUAUGUUUUAUAACAUCUUUGUUAUAAUAAUGUCAAAGUUAUUUUUUUUAUCUACAGUGUACUUUUUUAUUCUUUAUAUAUGAUUUAUAAAUGAAAACUUUUUUAUGUUUGCCAUUAUACUUUUAUUUUUGGGUUGAACUAUUCAAAUUGAAUUGCAUACUUCAACAUAAUUGCUUAUUGCUAGAUGAUACAGGAUGUUUAGCACUCAAUGUGACCAGCUGCAAAGAUUUUAUUACAAAUUUUAUAAUCUUUGCCAUAUUUUACAUUGGCAUCUGACUUUACUCAGUUGUAAAACUAAAUAAGGUUAUGAGGGCUUCAUUAUUAUAUAAUUUCAUCAUGUAAUUUCUCUGAAAAUGUUGGAUAAUUACAAAUGAGCGUUCUUUAUUUCAUGAUGUGCAUCAGAACUUGGAAUAAUUACUCUUAUGAGAAUUUUUCUUGGUGUAAACAAAAUAAUUGUGUAGUGUCAAUUUUACUUAAGGAGACUAAACUGUUUUUUGUAGGCUGGAAUAGAACCUAAAUUAGCUUAAAUUCCUUUUAGAGGCUCAGUGUGGCAUUUUAUUUAUCUGUACUUAUCGAGAUCUGUAGAUAAAUCUAUCUACAACAUACACAGCACUUAUUAAGCAGUUCCAAAAACAAUUUUGCUGUAAAGCCACAAUGUCAGGAGACAGAGUGGAAAUCUCCAAAGGGAAAGUGGAGGCUUCUGAGAAAUUUGGUUAAAUUUGUUGACAUGGUAUUAAUGGAUGCCCCUGUAUUAAUGGAUGGCCCUAACCACAACUAUCUGUACUUGGGAAGACCUGUAAGAACCCAAGUAGUUCCAGAUCCCACUUUUUGGAAUCACUCAAGGGCAAAGUGCAUUACUCUGAGAUUUUGGGAGCUAUCACAUUGCCCAGCAUUAUCACAAGUUUGAGAUGUACUUCUACAUCAAUUUGAGAGUGCAUGUACAUCCUCCAAAUUGCUGGUUCUGGAUAAGGAAAGAAAAGUGUGAAUAUUUUAAAAUGAGGCUGCAAGUAGGGCAAUUACAGGGCAGUCCAAAUAAAAAAAAAGAAGAAGAAACACUUGAGAAAAUCAGAGAUGCAUGGAUGCCCAUAGGUUAUCACCAUUUAAUAGCAGGCAGUUUAGUAAAUAGCUAGAAUGUUUUCAACCUAUUUCAUACUUUGGGAUCCAAAGUAUGAAAUCCUUAUACAGUACAGAUUUUUCAUUCUGUUAAUAAAGUUGCAAUGUUUGUAAGCAGGCAUAAUUAACAAUCAUCCUUCACACUUGAAAAAUGAAAGGGUCACCAAACACUAUGGGGGAAAGUAGUCAUUAAGAAAUGUUACUUAAUGGUAAUAUCACCUAAAUACAUACACCAUACUAAAGUGUAUUUAAUGGUAAUAUCACUUAACGACAUCAAACUUCAGUGUAUUUUCAGCCAAGGAAAGUCAAAUACUGGGAGCAAAAAUAAGUAUACAAACUGCUGUUUGUAUAUACUUCAUGAAGUAUACGGAUCCAAGGUCAUGUUACUCAGUCAUAAACAUGAAGAUUUUUGGGAUUUAGAAAACUUUUUUUUUUUUUUUUCAUGUACUUCAAAAAUGUUCUUCAGCCAUGAAGUACGUACUUAGCUUGAAAUAUGAUCCUACAAUGUAUGUGUGGGUGUUGCCUUCAUAGCUUGCUUUAAUAUAUGAGGUGUCCAUGUACUGAAUGAAAAAAUUCAGUUUGGUUUCUGACAUUACUUUAGUACCAACAGACUCUUCAGGUUCUAACUCUAAUGUUUAAUAUCAGUACGUAUCUCUUAUAAUUGGGUUACCUAAAGUCUUAUUUCACUGUGUACAUUUUAUUUUGGAAUAAUUUCCAGUCAAUUAUACCCUCUGAUCAUGGGUUGAUUGUUUGAAGGAUGCAUUAGUACCUGUUAUUGAAAUUCUUGAAGUUUCCUCUCCUCUCAUAAUAAAGGUUUUAUUGUUACCACUAACAUGUGAAGUUAUAAUUUAACUAUGAUUUUAAGAAAUAUAGUUAUAUUUCAGAUUUGAACUAAUUGUUCCUGUCACUUAUCAUGUUUUAUGAUAGUUCAUGCCAUCAGAGUAAAUAGUGUGCAAUAAUUAUUCUAAAUUAGGAAAUGUAAAUUUGCUGGGUUUUCAGUAUUUAACAGAGCCAAGCCAAGUAGGUAUAAGUUUUACUUAAUAUUUGCUUGGAUGUCAUUAUUAUUCCUUAUAAAUUUUAAAGGAAAUUUCCCAUUGAAUGUCUGAAUAAGUUGAAUGUACUACCAUUAAUUUAAAAUCAUUCCUCAUGAUAACAGUUGAAAAAUUGAAAUAGUGCUCUGACUCACUAAUAGAAAGUUUCAUAGUAACUUCUUGUAUGAUGUACAUUUAAAUUUGAUUUUUAUAAUAAGAAUUUUAGAAUAGAUGAUUUCUAUUAAAGGUAUUUAUUUAUUUUUUAAAGUCUGCUAAUAUCACAUGCCAGCAAAUUUCUCAUUUAUACUGAACAUCUGUAGAGUUGUUUUUAUACAGUAGCUUACAGUAACCACAGCAGUGUAUUGACUGACGUGCAGAUUAAACUGAGGUAACUAAAGCACUAGCAACAGUGUAUUGUUCGUGAUGAUUUCUGUUCACAAGUGUUAUUGUUGGGGUAGCCUUAAAUAUACACUGUAUGUGUUUACAUAUAAACAUUUUAAAAAUCCUGUUUUAUUUGUGUUUGAUGUAAUCAAUAUUCUUACAAAGAGGUCAUUUAGCAUUCCACGGUAAACCAUACUUAACAUUUUAUGUACGUAUACGAUUACGCUCUGUCGUCGUCAGUCUGAUGUCAAGUUACAUUUGUGUACACUGUUCUUAUCAAUAAUUGCUGCCAUAGUAUAGGCUGCAAUUGUAAAGACCCACUAAAAAUUCAUGUGGUGUCCUUGUUCUCUCAUUCAUGCUUGGUAAGGGCAAAUCCAUACUGUACAGGUUUAUAAUGAAAGAGGCAUUGACACCCUCAUGUAUGUAACUGAAAUUGUUUAUCAGUUGUAUGUUAGCUGCAAAGACUAUUUCCACAGUCGGUGAAUGUGAAACAUCAGAAGGAAUAUCUUUUGUUUACAAUGAUCAGGUGCAGGAGUCAGAGAUACAAAGCAUGCUGUAGCAGUUAACAGAAUAUCUCAAGAGUGUUCAGUAACUUAGAAAGAAUUAGUAAUUAUAAUAUACUGUAGUAGCUAUUUUUUUAUUACCUAAUCUUAGUUGAUUUUACAUUAGAAAAGUACAAAAUACUGUUAGACAGUGUAGUCUCAUUCAUGCAUUUACCUAGUAUAUCUUAUUGUUUUACAAUAUUCUCUAAAAGAAAUAUAAUGAGGUAUUUUCUUCACUGAUAGAAAUUAUAUUGGUGGUGUUUUACAACUUGGUUGAUAUAGUGUGGAAUAAGGUCAUUUGAGUGUUAAAACUCAAAAUAUUAGAACCAAAGAAUAUCUUCCUCAUUACCAGUACUUUUCCUUUUACAGCUGUUGAUUGUGAAAUUUGUUGUUAAAUUUAGACUUCUGUUAUGCAUAUUAGGCUGUUGAGACUCCAGUUAAUAAAAUACUCAAUGUAUUUUGUGUCAUAGUUAUUGGGAGUGUCAGAGUUUGGAAUACUCUGUAAACAAAUUUUUUUUGUUAGUAAUGGAAUAUUAAUAUCAAGAAAUGCAGUUUCACAGCAGUUUACUGCAGUCUCAUUUCUACUGUAAUCCUAGAGGAACCUAAUACAGAUUCAUUUUUGUUUCAUUUGUGCUGUUAUUAUUAUUCAAAAUUUAGGAUGAGUUGUGUGCACCAUGUGCAGUCUUGUGAAAUCAAAGUUGAAGAUGAUUGUAGCAAUAACAUUGAAUGUUUAACAACUUUUGAUGGUUUUUCUGUUGAAUAUUUGUCUAUUAUACAAUUAAUAUAUGUGCAGAUAUUAAAUACAUUGCUGGUAGUGUGGAAUAAUACAAAAAUUUUUCAUCACUGGAUUAGAAUGCUUUCAAAUAAAUUACUAUUUUCAAAGCUUUGACCUA